rnacentral:lncRNA from 1 species
CUGGUGUGCAACUGAAGGGAGGAGGGAGCAGGCGUUCCUCUGCUGCUGAAGAGGGCUGUGGAAACUUAAGUCAUAGACAUGCUUCAGUGAGAGGAUGAGGAUUUGCCCAGAUGGGAAGCUUCAAGUGCAGAGGCACUUGUACAUCUACUUAUCUUGAGUCUCAAUGAUGCUGUUUAUGAGUGAGCUAUUCAAAUGGAGGAAGAAACCCACGGAGAAGGAGAAAUAACAGGUCGGAGUGAUUAUGUACAGAAGGAUAGGCUCUAGCAGGAGUCCAGUGGGAAAGAAGGAAGGGAAUACAAUUAAGAAUUAUUAAUGGCAGAUCUCUAAUGAUUUCACUGGAUCCAAAGGAACAGGGCAAUACUGAGUAAGAAACACUUGAUAUACGAAAAAAGCGUGAGUGCGAAGGAAAAUACAUCAUUCUACAGAUGUUGACGGACUCUGACGGUGGGAAAGCGUCCCUCAAGAUUGAAUUGGAGUAGAAGCUGACCCUCCCACUUGCCCAGAGAUCCCCUAGCUGCUUUCCUGAUCAAUUUCAUCACACAAGCUGGCAGCUAUGGGCAGUGAGGGAAGGAAGGGGCAAUCUCCUCACUAGACAGCCGUGCCAAGGUCACCCUGGUCCAUCCAUGAGGAGAAAACAAAAAAAUCCAAAUGUGUCUUCAAACAUGGCCAGAAUGAGGUUUCAACACACAUGGGAACAAGAUAUAUUCAUGGAAUGUGCCUUUGAACCUGCAUUCAAAAGAACUCAGACAGAGUUCCAACCAAAGAGAGCAGUUUCAAACAGCCUGUGAAAUCCAAGUAGAUUUCUACCAUACAGAAGUCUAUUUCCUGAUGGAUUCUCUACCCUUUUUCCUGAAUGAUGGACAAAGAGUGAUACGUGUUAUGGAUGGAAGAUAGUGGCCAGCUCAGGAUUGAGUGUCUUCAGAAAUUAUGUCCAAAUGAAUCAUGGACUGAACCCAUUUUGUUAUACUAAAAUUUCCUUUGUGCACUAGAGGUCAUAAAAAUGUUUCACUGCCAAAUCUAGACCACUUUAUCCUCCAAUGAAAUUAUGAUUUCUAAAGCACAAAAUCUAAGAAAAACUCACAUUGGGUAGCAAGCAAGGCCAGCCAGUUCAUCAAUAGCCAGGCAUAAAAGUCUACAUGUUUCAUUUUGCCAAUAAGCUUGUCUGCUUCAUCUGGUGCCAACAACUCAAUCCUCUGAACAUCACAUAUUGAAUAAAGGAACCUUUUCAAAUCUACGGAAUACUUCAGUUCUCAUCUUUCUAAUGUAUCAUCUGAUACAAGGGUUCAUUCUAUCCUUCUAGAGUUAAUAAAUGAUUACUGUACCAAGUCUGAUAUUCUGGAGGUGCUGAAGUAAAAACUGCCCCAAACGUCCCCUCAGGACAGUGGUUAUUUUUUAAAACAAAUUUACUGUGUAUCCUGGAGUUUCUAGAAGUUCACUUAUGCAGAAAACUGAAUACAACAUUCACCACUGAGGUUUUAACUUUCCAUUCUUUG